rnacentral:rRNA from 1 species
GGGAAUAUUGCACAAUGGGCGCAAGCCUGAUGAAGCCAUGCCGCGCGUAUGAAGAAGGCCCUCGGGUUGUAAAGUACUUUCAGCGGGGAGGAAGGGAGUAAAGUUAAUACCUUUACUCAUUGCCGUGACACGCAGAAGAAGCACCGGCUAACUCCGUGCCAGCAGCCGCGGUAAUACGUAGGUGGCAAGCGUUGUCCGGAUUUAUUGGGCGUAAAGCGCACGCAGGCGGUUUGUUAAGUCAGAUGUGAAAUCCCCGGGCUCAACCUGGGAACUGCAUCUGAUACUGGCAAGCUUGAGUCUCGUAGAGGGGGGUAGAAUUCCAGGUGUAGCGGUGAAAUGCGUAGAGAUCUGGAGGAAUACCGGUGGCGAAGGCGGCCCCCUGGACAAAGACUGACGCUCAGGUGCGAAAGCGUGGGGAGC